CCGGAUUUAUUUAUAUAUACUAGAUUAUUAAUAGUUAUUUACUUAAAAUUUAAAGAAUUUGGCGGUAGUUUAGUCCAGUUAGAGGAACCUGUUUUAAGAAUUAAAUCGAUAAACCACGUAGAAUCUUACUUAUUUUAGUUAUAAUUAGUUUGUAUACCAUCAUUAUUAGAUAAUUUUAUAAAGAUAGUAAUUAUUGAAGUGAAUUAUGUUAAAUAAAUUAGAUCAAGGUGCAGCUUAUAAAUAAGUUAAAAUGGGUUACAAUAAAUUUUAUUUAUUACGAAAUAAUUUAGGAAUAUAGAGAUUAGGAAGGAGGAUUUAAUUGUAAUAUAAAUUUAAUAAGUUUAUGUGAUAAAGGUUCUAAAUUAUGUACACACCGCCCGGUACCCCUCAAUAGGAAUAACGGCGUUAUAGUGGUGAAAGUUCUUAGCUUAAAGGAGCUUCGCGACGGCGAAGUUGAAUUAAAUUGGCUAAAAAGGGCAACCAGAGAAAGAAGAGGCUCUGUUCUAUCCUUAAAUUUUCACAUGAAUGGAGGAAGGGGGGGGACAUUUUUA
rnacentral:rRNA from 1 species